UUUAUUUUUAGAGACAUUCGCUGUAAUGUACUAAGUAUAUUUUAAGAGAAAUAUAUUUCGAUAUUAAUAUUAUGAAUCUUGAUAUUGAUUGGAGAAAUUAGUUUUACUUGCGUUCAGAACGCGGUAUAUCACCUAUCACACAGUCUGGGUGCCAUCAUGAAUUAUCCAAAAAUAACGACAAAAUAUUAUUUAGAUUAACUGAAAUAUAUUGCUGAUGUCAAUGAUAAAAUUUGAGGGUGGAGGAAAGUAGUAUGUAAGACCUAUCAUAAAUUUUUCGUAUGAUAUGAUAUAAGUUGCUUAGUUACCAUAACUUUUGCAAGUUGAAGCCAGGGAAGCGGGCAACUGCUGUGGCAGACUUAUAAUGCAAGUUAUGGACGGUAUCUAAAGAAACAAGUACUCUAUGAGACAUUCUUUCAUUGAAUGUAAAUUUUGUGUCGUUUACGAUAAAGAUGCCUAAAAGUCGCAGAUUAUGCCCAGAACGAGGACAAACAUCAGUAUGCAGAAAACUUCACAAAACAAGUACACAAGACGAACUUCAAGUGCACUUGGAGAGAAAAUCUACAAGUGUAUUGAGUUUCAAAAACGCAGCGGAAUCAAAACCUGCACCACUGCGACGUAAUGAUUUAAAAUCGUUAACUUACUUAAACAACAAUUUAGCACAUGAGAAAAACAACAAAAACAGUCUUCAUCCGUUAAAAUCAUGUCUUUCCUCUCAAAAACAAGGGGCAAAGGCCAAGAUGAGCGUAAAAUUUUACUUCAAAAAGGACGACAACCAAACAAGUAGUCCUCAUUCAAUGUCUGCUCAUAAUUUAAAUAAGACCAUAACAAAACGAAAGAAAUGUGACACAAUGUACAAUAAAAAUAUUGGGUCGAAAAGAGCAAAUGUUUUAUUUAAUAGAAAGUAUAUGGUCGGUGACGUCGGUGGAAUACAAGCAAAAGUAGAUGCAAAGCAGCAAUAUGAGACCGAAUCCAGGACUCAGUCAAAUGUAACAUCCGUGAAGAAAUCAUUGGCAAGGAAGAUAAAAAAUAUGAUCAUCGAAAAGUCGAAACAGCUGUCAGACACAAGUUUAAGACAUAGACAUCGAAGAAAGUCAAUUAAAUUGAGAUCGUACAGUAGUUAUACUUCUAUCUCAAGCUAUGAACGGUUUAAACAAAAGUUGCAAAGCAGUCAGCUGAAAAUUCCGAUAUUGGAAAAAUCUAAAACAAAAAAUAUUUCGAUCGGAAAUGAGUUGUUGGCCGGAUAUUAUCAAUUAAGAGAUAAACGAGGAAGGGCGCAACUAAAUCACAUGUUGCCAAAUUUAAAUACAGAAAGAAAUAUUCAUCCACUCAGCAAACACUCGAACGAUAAACAUCAAAUUCAACGUAACUUGCCAGAAAACUGUAACCAUAAGGAAAGUGAUUUGUCUGCAGUUGUUUAUCAAGAUAUUUGUGUUACGGGAAAAACACUCAAACUGUGGAAAAAUCACAGUGAAUGUAAAAACAAACGUGUACUAUCUAUAAAAAUUGGAAAUCAAUCCUCUGACAAUUGCAUCAAGUAUUAUUCUGAUAAAGGGAAUACACUAAGUCCUGUCAUUAAUUAUAAUACAAUGCGUAAUUUCCCGCGAACUAAAGACAUAUUUCAACAGAAUCUUUUUAAUGUGUUGAUAAAACAUGGAAAACAAAAUUAUAAAGGGGAACUAAAAUCAAUGAAAAAGAAUAAGCAAGAAGGCUACGAUCGCCGAGAUGAUUACGAAGACACUAAAAUUCCACGAAUAAUAGAAAAUAAGUCACGUGAUAAUAAGAAAUACCUAAGUGUUGGACGAAAAUCACGUAAUGACAUGUCAAAUGAAAGCAAUGAAAAAUAUAAAACUAUUCCUUCAAAUGUAACAAAUUCGGAUCUCAUUAUCAAUCCAGGCAUCGUUUUUACUAAAAAAAGAAAGCCAAUGAAAGAUUCGUCAAAAAGCAGAGGAUUCUUUCUGCGCAAUAAAUCACGGCAAAUUAAACGACCUCCGAAUACUAAAGAUUCUGUUAAGUUCCCUGUUCCAUUAAACGAUAAAAUAACGACGAAAGACAAAAACGAUGAACGCCCGGUAGAGAAAUUAACUUCGCAGAUAAAUUCUUCCUCUAAGACACAAGCAAUUGUAAAAAACGAUAAGCGAAUGCAAGUAAUCAAAAGAAGCUUUAGACAUAGAAGAGUAAGAUCCGACUUUGAAACUAGUUUUAGCAAAUCAGACAGCCUUAGAAGUAUAUACGAAAAUCCUUAUCAAAUACCUUUCGCCGUGAAGGAGUACCUGUCAAAAUUAAUAAAAAAACUAAAAUUAAUGGCUCAUGAUGUAAUAGACCCUAAGUCUAGUAUGUGUACGUGUGAAAAAUGUAAUUGUAACAAAUGUGAUUUUAAACGAGAUGCACCAAGUGAGCUUAAAGCAACCAGAUCCCAAAAUAAGUCUGAUUCUGAUGAAAAACAUUCAAGUUUACCAGACACACAUACCAGCUCUAAUAAAGAGACCACGAUUGGGCAAGAAAAAUAUCCGCUUUCAAAAAUUUGUGAAAAAGCGUGUGACAUACCUGGAUGUAAAAGGGAUACAAACUUUGAAAAGACAAGUCAUAGUAAACUUGAUCAGCAAAAGUCAAUGCAUGUUUAUGAUGGAAAAAAAAAUUCUGAUGUAGCUUUACAAACUCCCGCAGGAGCAAUAAAUAGUACUACACAAGCUGACGAACCUAAUAAACUAAUUGACAAACCUGAUGAACCAAUUUUCAAAUUGGAAAAACGAAUAAAGAAACCUGAUAAACUAACUGGCAAACCUGAUAAACCAACUGGCAAACCUGAUAAUGCAAUUGUCAAAUCUGAUAAACCAAUUGUCAAAUGUGAUAAACCAAUUGUCAAAUGUGAUAAACCAAUUGUCAAAUGUGAUAAACCAAUUGUCAAAUCUGAUAAACCAAUUGUCAAAUCUGAUGAACCACUUAUCAAAUCUGAUGAACCAAUUAUGAAAUCUGAUGAACUAAUUGACAAACCUGAUAAACCAAUUUUCAAAUUCGAAAAACGAAUAAAGAAACCUGAUAAACCAAUUGUCAAAUCUGAUAAACCAAUUGCCAAAUCACAUAAACCAAUUGUCAAAUCUGAUAAACCAAUUGUCAAAUCUGAUAAACCAAUAGACAAAUCUGAUGAACCAAUAGACAAACCUGAUGAACUAAUUAAAACCAAGUCACAAAAUUCACAAACUGAAGAAAAUGAUACAAAAAAAUGGUGGCAAAAAGGUUUUGAAAAAAUUAAAUGCUUGUAUAGACCGCAAAGCCGUGAUUUUUCUAAAAAGAAAUCGUCAAAAUUGAUUGGCAGAAAGUGUAAAAGAAAUAAAAACAAAACCGAAUCAAAACAAUGCAAUAAACAACCAACUGCAAUAAAAGAUCAAGUUGCAAUAGAAAAAAUAUAUGACAAUGCAAGAAACGUCUCGUCAUCUCGUGAGCACCCUAAAUCGUCCAUUAAAUGUUCACCGUGUAAUUUGGAUAAACACCAGUCGCCAAAAGUUGGCUCUGAUACAUCAAAAACGGCUAAGAAAGGAAGAACAGAAAGUAAUAUAUCAAUGAAAUCUGUAUUAAAAAGAUUAAAAAGAACUCGAUCGUUACCCAUCAAAUUUCAAAUGAAAAAACACAGUGGACUAGAAUUGAAGACUGGCGAAAAUAAGAAAAUAUUAAUUAAUUCUGGUAACCAAGUUGUACCGACUGAUACAUUUCAAAAACCUACUAGGAAACCGAAACAUGAUUCACAAUUACAUAAAACACCAUCAGUAUGUUGUCCAUGCAUUCAUAAAGAAACUCCGAAAAGUCGAUUUAAUUUUUUUUCAAAAAAGCGGCAUAUACGAACACCAUUAGUUAAACAGCCCAGUGUUGCUAAAUAUAGAAAAAUCUCUGGGCCUCAAAUUGGCAUUACCUUCAAAUUUGCCAAAGGCACUGGUGAUCACGACUCUAAAGAAAAAAACGCUAAAGAUCAACCUGUACCUAUUUCUAAAAGUAAACAAAAAUCUUUAACUAAACAAAAAUCUUUAAGUAAAGAAAAAUCUUUAAGUAAAGAAAAACCUUUAAGUAAAGAAAAAUCUUUAAGUAAAGAAAAAUCUUUAAGUAAACACAUAUCUUUAAGUAAGCAUUCCGAGAAAAGAUUGAAAACUCAAGAGAGAAGUAAAUCUUUAAGUGGCCAUCAUCAGCUAUCUGAAACUAAAAUAAAAAAAUCCAGUGAUGCUAGAAUAACGACAUGUUCAUGUGACUGCCAUCUGAAGAAAGGUAAACAGGUUUGUAAUAAUUGUAAAAACACAUGCUUAACAAAAGAGGAAAAAAAAUUUUGGAAACUUUUUAAUAGAUUAUGUGGACAUCCCAAAAUACGUGAACAAUUGAGUAUAUCCGUUCCUCAAUCAAAAAUAUUUGGCAAACAACACCGUUCUGAACAGCUUAUAAGACGUUUGUCAGAAGGUAUAGGCAGUGCAAAGAAAUCCACUAAAUGGACAAGUAGCCAUCGUCUCAGUAAAAAUCAACAAGCCAGUGAAAAACUUCCUAAGCAUAUUUCUAAAAGUACACAUGUUGAUUCUGAACUGAGCUCAAAGGCAUACAUCCGUAGGCAACUUACAAAUUGUAAAUGUUUUAUUAAACGUAGUGAUAAAAGUGUAUCUGCAGACGCCUUUAAGAAGAAAGCUGUAAAUCAAAAGACACAAACAAGUGUCAGAGGAAAAACGAAGGCAAAAUCAAUUAGGAGCGGCAUGCGUUUAAAACUGAAUAAAAAUCAGAUAUGCAAAUGCUUUCCUUUUAAACGUUCUGAUAAAUCUUCUGUGAACAACGAAGGUCAACAAGGUAGGGUUCACCAUAAACGUAAAAAACGAUUUUUUUUUAAAGACACUGAUAAAAAAUCUCUGAUUGACCAUCAAAAGCACUCUUUAUCAAAACCGAUUGAUACUAGUCCUUUAAUGAACAAUCAAAAACAACCAAGUGGCGAUCGCAUUCAGCAUGAGCAUAAAAAGAAGUCUUUAACAAAACCGACUGAUAAUAGUGCUCUAAUGAACAAUCAAAACCAACCAAGUGGCGAUAGCAUUCAGCACGCCCAUAAAAAGAAGUCUUUAUCAAAACCGAUUGAUACUAGUCCUUUAAUGAACAAUCAAAAACAACCAAGCGGCGAUCGCAUUCAGCGUGAGCAUAAAAAGCACCCUGUUUCAAAACCAACUGAUACUAGUCCUUUAAUGAACAAUCAAAACCAACCAAGUGGCGAUAGCAUUCAGCAUGCCCAUAAAAAGAAGUCUUUAUCAAAACCUAUUGAUUCUAGUCCUUUAAUGAACAAUCAAAAACAACCAAGCGGCGAUCGCAUUCAGCGUGAGCAUAAAAAGCACCCUUUUUCAAAACCAACUGAUACUAGUCCUUUAAUGAACAAUCAAAACCAACCAAGUGGUGAUCGCAUCCAGAAUGCCCAUAAAAAGAAGUCUUUAUUAAAACCUGUUGAAAAUAGUCCUUUAAUGAACAAUCAAAACCAACCAAGUGGCGAUCGCAAUCAGUAUAAGCGUAGAAAGAACUUUUUAUCAAAACCUACUGAUAAUAGUGGUUUAAUGAAAAAUCAAACUCAACCAAGUGGCGACAGCAUUCCAAAUGCGCAUAAAAAGCACCCUUUAUCAAAACCUACUGAUUAUAGUCCUUUAAUGAACAACCAAAAACAACCAAGUGGCGAUCGCAUUCAGUAUGAACAUAAAAAGAACUCUUCAUCAAAACCGACAGAUAAUAGUGCUUUAAUGAACAAUCAAAAUCAACCAAGUAACGUUCGCAAUCAGUAUAAGCAAAAAAAGAACUUUUUUUCAAAGCUUACUGGUAAGAAACCUACUGAUAAUAGUGCUUUACCAAAACAUCAAAAUCUAUCGAUUGACGAUCGCAUUCAGUAUGAGCAGAACAAUAUAUUGUUUUCAAAACCUACUGAUAAUAGUGGUUUAAUUAACUAUCCAAAUCAACCAAGUAACGCUCGCAAUCGAGGUAAGCAUAAAAAGGGCUUUUUUUCAAAGUUUACUGGUAAUAAACUUACUGAUAAUAGGGCUUUAGUUAACUAUACAAAGCAGCCAAGUAACGAUCGGAAUCAGGAUAAACAAAAAAAUAAAUAUUUUUUAAAACCUACUGGUAAUAAACCUACCGACAAUAGUGCUUUAGCGAUAUAUCAUAAUCUAGCAAAUGACGAUCGCAUUCAGUACGAGCAUAAUAGUAUUAUGUUUUCUAAACCUACUGAUAAUAGUGCUCUAAUUAACUAUCCAAAUGAACCAAGUUACGAUCGCAAUCAGAAUAAGCAUAAAAAAAGAUUUUUUUCAAAACGUACUGGCAAUAAACCUACUGAUAAUAGUGUUUUAAUGAACUAUCAAAAUCUAUCGAGUGGUGAUCGCAUUCAGUAUACAAAGAACUUUUUUCCAAAGUCUACUGGUAAUAGGCCCACUGAUAAUAGUCCUGUAAUGAACUAUCUAACUCAAUCAAGUGGUGAUCGCGUUCCGUAUCAAAAGAACUUUUUUUCAACACAUACUGUUAAUAGAGCUUUCAUGAACUAUGAAAAUCCACCAAAUGACGAUCGCAAUCAGAAUAAGCAUAAAAGUAACUUUUUCUCAAAGCUUACUAGAAAUAAACCUACUGGUAAUAGUGCUUUAAUGAACCAUCAAAAUCAGCCAAGUGGCGAUCGCAUUCAGUCUAAGCGUAAAAAGCGUUUUUUCUCAAAACGUACUGAUAUCAACCACCAAUAUCAACAAAGUGACUCUCAAAUUCAGGAUAAGCCUAAAAAGGGACUAUUUCGUCGUUCUGGUCGUAAACAAAAAAACCUCCGGCGUAAAAACGGCUUGCUUCCAAAACGUGUUAAUAAACCUUUAGAAAAACAUGUCAAUUAUGUACCUUUGGAAAAACAUGUUAAGAAUGUACCUUUGGAAAAACAUGUUAAGAAUGUACCUUUGGAAAAAGGUCAGAAAGUCCCUCAUAAAAAGAAAUUUAAUUUAUUGAUGGGCAACCCUGAUGACGUAUUAAAAAAGACAAAAAAGAGAAAAGCCAAAGGAAAAAGAAAGAAACGUGGCUUAUAUCAGAAUAUAAAGGGAGGUGUGGCUACGUUUUUCCAGAAAAUUGAAAAAGAUUGUCGUCUCUUCUUGCUCACACUCAGAUUGAAGCCAUUUAAAUGCAUAUACAAAUUAUGCCCGCAUGCUUACCCAUACUUGUUACAUUCUUGUACCUUUCUUGGACAAGCUUUUCGUUUAAUUCUCUAUGCAUUAGCUUUUUUAACUUGGUUGCCAUGGCUGUUUUUGCUACCCAUUUUGAGAUGUAUUAUUUGCUUUUUAUAGAAUAUAAAUCAUUUUAAUUUAAA